rnacentral:rRNA from 1 species
UACGUAGGUGGCAAGCGUUGUCCGGAAUUAUUGGGCGUAAAGGGCGCGCAGGCGGUCUCUUAAGUCUGAUGUGAAAGCCCACGGCUUAACCGUGGAGGGUCAUUGGAAACUGGGGGACUUGAGUGCAGAAGAGAAGAGUGGAAUUCCAUGUGUAGCGGUGAAAUGCGUAGAGAUAUGGAGGAACACCAGUGGCGAAGGCGACUCUUUGGUCUGUAACUGACGCUGAGGCGCGAAAGCGUGGGGAGCGAACAGG